rnacentral:rRNA from 1 species
CACGCCGUAAACGAUGAUUACUGGGUGUAGGGAGUAUCGACUCUCUCUGUGCCGAAGCAAACGCGAUAAGUAAUCCACCUGGGGAGUACGGCCGCAAGGCUAAAACUCAAAGGAAUUGACGGGGACCCGCACAAGCAGUGGAGUAUGUGGUUUAAUUCGAAGCAACGCGAAGAACCUUACCAGGGCUUGACAUCCUCGGACGACACUAGAGAUAGUGUUUUCUCUUCGGAGACUGAGAGACAGGUGG